rnacentral:rRNA from 1 species
GACGAACGCUGGCGGCAUGCUUAACACAUGCAAGUCGAACGGAAAGGCCCUGCUUUUGUGGGGUGCUCGAGUGGCGAACGGGUGAGUAACACGUGAGUAACCUGCCCUUGACUUUGGGAUAACUUCAGGAAACUGGGGCUAAUACCGGAUAGGAGCUCCUGCUGCAUGGUGGGGGUUGGAAAGCUUCGGCGGUUGGGGAUGGACUCGCGGCUUAUCAGCUUGUUGGUGGGGUAGUGGCUUACCAAGGCUUUGACGGGUAGCCGGCCUGAGAGGGUGACCGGCCACAUUGGGACUGAGAUACGGCCCAGACUCCUACGGGAGGCAGCAGUGGGGAAUAUUGCACAAUGGGCGGAAGCCUGAUGCAGCAACGCCGCGUGCGGGAUGACGGCCUUCGGGUUGUAAACCGCUUUCGCCUGUGACGAAGCGUGAGUGACGGUAAUGGGUAAAGAAGCACCGGCUAACUACGUGCCAGCAGCCGCGGUGAUACGUAGGGUGCGAGCGUUGUCCGGAUUUAUUGGGCGUAAAGGGCUCGUAGGUGGUUGAUCGCGUCGGAAGUGUAAUCUUGGGGCUUAACCCUGAGCGUGCUUUCGAUACGGGUUGACUUGAGGAAGGUAGGGGAGAAUGGAAUUCCUGGUGGAGCGGUGGAAUGCGCAGAUAUCAGGAGGAACACCAGUGGCGAAGGCGGUUCUCUGGGCCUUUCCUGACGCUGAGGAGCGAAAGCGUGGGGAGCGAACAGGCUUAGAUACCCUGGUAGUCCACGCUGUAAACGGUGGGUACUAGGUGUGGGGUCCAUUCCACGGGUUCCGUGCCGUAGCUAACGCUUUAAGUACCCCGCCUGGGGAGUACGGCCGCAAGGCUAAAACUCAAAGGAAUUGACGGGGCCCCGCACAAGCGGCGGAGCAUGCGGAUUAAUUCGAUGCAACGCGUAGAACCUUACCUGGGUUUGACAUGGAUCGGGAGUGCUCAGAGAUGGGUGUGCCUCUUUUGGGGUCGGUUCACAGGUGGUGCAUGGCUGUCGUCAGCUCGUGUCGUGAGAUGUUGGGUUAAGUCCCGCAACGAGCGCAACCCUUGUUCACUGUUGCCAGCACGUUAUGGUGGGGACUCAGUGGAGACCGCCGGGGUCAACUCGGAGGAAGGUGGGGAUGACGUCAAGUCAUCAUGCCCCUUAUGUCCAGGGCUUCACGCAUGCUACAAUGGCUGGUACAGAGAGUGGCGAGCCUGUGAGGGUGAGCGAAUCUCGGAAAGCCGGUCUCAGUUCGGAUUGGGGUCUGCAACUCGACCUCAUGAAGUCGGAGUCGCUAGUAAUCGCAGAUCAGCAACGCUGCGGUGAAUACGUUCCCGGGGCU